UACGUAGGGUGCAAGCGUUAAUCGGAAUUACUGGGCGUAAAGCGUGCGCAGGCGGCUUUGCAAGACAGAUGUGAAAUCCCCGGGCUUAACCUGGGAACUGCAUUUGUGACUGCAUGGCUGGAGUGCGGCAGAGGGGGAUGGAAUUCCGCGUGUAGCAGUGAAAUGCGUAGAUAUGCGGAGGAACACCGAUGGCGAAGGCAAUCUCCUGGGCCUGCACUGACGCUCCAUGCACGAAAGGCGUGGGGAGCAAACAGG
rnacentral:rRNA from 1 species